rnacentral:rRNA from 1 species
GACAGAGGAUGCAAGCGUUAUCCGGAAUGAUUGGGCGUAAAGCGUCUGUAGGUGGCUUUUCAAGUCCGCCGUCAAAUCCCAGGGAUCAACCCUGGACAGGCGGUGGAAACUACCAAGCUGGAGUACGGUAGGGGCAGAGGGAAUUUCCGGUGGAGCGGUGAAAUGCAUUGAGAUCGGAAAGAACACCAACGGCGAAAGCACUCUGUCGGGCCGACACUAACACUGAGAGACGAAAGCUAGGGGAGCAAAUGGG